GAUGAACGCUAGCUACAGGCUUAACACAUGCAAGUCGAGGGGUAGCAGGGUAGCAAUACCGCUGACGACCGGCGCACGGGUGAGUAACACGUAUCCAACCUUCCCAUAACUCGGGGAUAGCCUUUCGAAAGAAAGAUUAAUACCCGAUAGUACUUAACAAAGGCAUCUUUGAUAAGUUAAAGAUUUAUUGGUUAUGGAUGGGGAUGCGUUCCAUUAGAUAGUUGGUGAGGUAACGGCUCACCAAGUCUUCGAUGGAUAGGGGUUCUGUGAGGAAGGUCCCCCACAUUGGUACUGAGACACGGACCAAACUCCUACGGGAGGCAGCAGUGAGGAAUAUUGGUCAAUGGGCGAGAGCCUGAACCAGCCAAGUAGCGUGAAGGAUGAAGGUCCUAUGGAUUGUAAACUUCUUUUAUAGUAGGAUAAAGUGACCUACGUGUAGGUUUUUGUAUGUAUACUAUGAAUAAGGAUCGGCUAACUCCGUGCCAGCAGCCGCAGUAAGAC
rnacentral:rRNA from 1 species